GUUAGUCGGGAGCUAAGGUGAGGCCGGAAGGCGUAGCCGAUGCACAGACGGUAGAGAUUCCGUCACCACCAAAAGAGUUAAGCACAGGGACACAUAUGAAGUCUCAGAGCCGGGUGUUGGUUCCGGUAGAGAUCGAGGGAAAUUAGUACCGAAGUCUGAGAUGGAAGAUGGCGAGAAAAGCUGUGUGUAUUUCUGAGGUGCCCGUACCGCAAACCGACACAGGUAGGUAGGAAGAAGAUUCUAAGGCCAACGGGAGAAGGGUUGUUAAGGAACUCGGCAAAUUGACCCCGUAACUUCGGGAGAAGGGGUGCUCCAGAGAUGGAGCCGCAGAGAAUCGGCCCAAGCAACUGUUUACCAAAAACACAGGUUUGUGCUAAAUCGAAAGAUGACGUAUACGAGCUGACGCCUGCCCGGUGCUGGAAGGUUAAGAGGAGAUGUGCAAGCAUUGAAUCGAAGCCCCAGUGAACGGCGGCCGUAACUAUAACGGUCCUAAGGUAGCGAAAUUCCUUGUCAGGUAAGUUCUGACCCGCAUGAAAGGCGUAAUGAUUUGGGCACUGUCUCAACAGCCCGCCCGGCGAAAUUGUAGUACCGGUGAAGAUGCCGGUUACCCGCGACAAGACGGAAAGACCCCAUGGAGCUUUACUGUAGCCUAAUAUUGGGUUUCGAUGUUGCAUGCACAGGAUAGAUGGGACACUGGGAAACAAGUGCUUUGGCAUUUGUGGAGUGGCCGUUGGGAUACCAUCCUUGCGAUAUUGGAAUUCUAACCUGCGGCUCUGAAUCGAGUCGGGGGACAUUGUUAGGUGGGCAGUUUGACUGGGGCGGUCGCCUCCUAAAGAGUAACGGAGGCGUUCAAAGGUUCGCUCAGCUUGAACGGAAAUCAAGCAAAAGAGUGCAAACGCAGAAGCGAGCCUAACUGCGAGACUGACGGGUCGAGCAGUAACGAAAGUUGGAGUUAGUGAUCCGGUGGUAUGUGAGUGGAAAUGCCAUCGCUCAACGGAUAAAAGUUACCCUGGGGAUAACAGGCUGAUCUCCCCCAAGAGUCCACAUCGACGGGGAGGUUUGGCACCUCGAUGUCGGCUCAUCGCAUCCUGGGGCUGUAUUCGGUCCCAAGGGUUUGGCUGUUCGCCAAUUAAAGCGGUACGCGAGCUGGGUUCAGAACGUCGUGAGACAGUUCGGUCCCUAUCUGUCGUGGGCGCAGGAUAUUUGAUGGGAGCUGUCCCUAGUACGAGAGGACCGGGACGGACGUACCUCUGGCGCACCAGUUGUUCCGCCAGGAGCAUAGCUGGGCAACUACGUACGGAUCGGAUAAACGCUGAAAGCAUCUAAGCGUGAAGCCGACCCAAAGAUAAGAUAUCCCACUGAUUGAAUCAGGUAAGAUCCCUUGUAGACUACGAGGUUGAUAGGCACGAUGUGUAAGUGGAGCGAUCCAUUCAGCAAGUGUGUACUAAUAGAUCGAGGGCUUGACCAC
rnacentral:rRNA from 1 species